UCGCCCGAACUUGACCGGCCAUUGUCGGAAAAAUCAAACAUGAAGGGGGUACUAUGUAAAUAUCCAAAGUUCAAUAUAUAAAGCUCCUUUAUGGCUCAUUUUAGCAGAUUUUCUCUCUCAAGUUAGAGAGAGAAAUAAGAGAGAGAUAGAACUAGAGAAAGAUGGGUGGCCGCGGUGGCGUUUAGCGGCAAUUCGCGGUGGCCGGUGGUGGCCGGAGGUGGUCGGAGUUGUGGGUUUCAACCUGGAACCAAUUAGGGAUGCUAUGAACGUAAUGGAUCAUGUCAAGGUGGGUGGAUGCAUGGAAGGCUAACAGAAUGGAUGCGAGGAAGCAAGUACGAAACGGACGCUUAAGGUUACACGGACAACAUUAUCAUCAUGAAGAACAAGCGGAUAAAGAUCGAGAUAAAGAGCAUGGAUUGUACGUGUAACACCUCGAAAAUUUACGUCCAAUAAUGUAUUGACACGUGUCAUAGGCUUUGCAU